AACGCUGGCGGCGUGCCUAACACAUGCAAGUCGAGCGGCAGCGGGUGUAGCAAUACAUGCCGGCGAGCGGCGAACGGGUGAGUAAUGCUUCGGAAUCUGCCCAAUGGUGGGGAAUAACCAGCCGAAAGGUUGGCUAAUACCGCAUACGUCCUACGGGAGAAAGCAGGGGAUCGUAAGACCUUGCGCCAAUGGAUGAGCCGAAGUCGGAUUAGCUAGUUGGUAGGGUAACGGCCUACCAAGGCGACGAUCCGUAGCUGGUCUGAGAGGACGACCAGCCACACUGGGACUGAGACACGGCCCAGACUCCUACGGGAGGCAGCAGUGGGGAAUAUUGGACAAUGGGGGAAACCCUGAUCCAGCGACGCCGCGUGUGUGAAGAAGGCCUGCGGGUUGUAAAGCACUUUUAGUGGGGAUGAAAAGUUCAGGGCUAAUACCCCUGGAUCUUGACCUAACCCACAGAAAAAGCACCGGCUAACUCUGUGCCAGCAGCCGCGGUAAUACAGAGGGUGCAAGCGUUAAUCGGAAUUACUGGGCGUAAAGCGUGCGUA
rnacentral:rRNA from 1 species